rnacentral:lncRNA from 1 species
GCUUUAAAGAUUACUUUUCUUGUUAAAGUAGUCCCAGUUAUUAACAUUUAAUAGUCUCAGUUCUUUGGUAAGUUUUGGGGGAACAGAUUUGACACAGACGCCUUCUUUGGGUCUAUCCAUCUGCAAGAAGACCACACGCUCCUUGGUGGAGCCUCUUCAUGAAGGACUGCUGCUACCCACUGUAAUCUCUCCUCCCAGAACCAGCACUGCUUUCUCUGGAAAUACUAGUAUUUCAAGAAGGUAUGAGUGCAACAAGGUAUCUGAGCACGCUCUCCAGUAGUUCUCGCUCUCCUUUACCCACCCCACUUCUGCAAGAGGCUAAUCUGACUCAUUCCGCUGGGCUCUUUUUUAUGCACACAUAUGA